CUGUUCGCCAUUUAAAGUGGUACGCGAGCUGGGUUUAGAACGUCGUGAGACAGUUCGGUCCCUAUCUGCCGUGGGCGUUGGAAGAUUGAGAGGGGUUGCUCCUAGUACGAGAGGACCGGAGUGAACGCACCACUGGUGUUCGGGUUGUCAUGCCAAUGGCAUUGCCCGGUAGCUAAGUGCGGAAGAGAUAACCGCUGAAAGCAUCUAAGCGGGAAACUUGCCUCGAGAUGAGUCUUCCCUGUCGCUUAAAGCGACCUAAAGGAACGUUUAAGACGAAGACGUUGAUAGGCUGGGUGUGUAAGCGUAGCGAUACGUUGAGCUAACCAGUACUAAUGAACCGUGAGGCUUAACCUGACAACACCGAAGGUGUUU
rnacentral:rRNA from 1 species